UAUGGAAUAUGAGAGGAAAAUUGAACUGCAGCUUUCAAUGUCGCUGUUUUUUGUGUUGGAACACCCACUGACACUGAAGAGUCACAUGAAGACACAAGGCUUAGAAUAUGAUCACAUUCUAGAGGCUCAAUAUGGACCAGACAAAAUUGAAUACCAUGGAUAUGUCAAGAAAGACUGUGCAGGAGAGCGUCCAUUUUCGUCAACACUGCCUGGCGUUGGUGACCCCCUGAGUGCUUCCGCGUAGGUGGCAUGUUGAAGUCUUGGAGGACUGAUGGAGGGUGUCAGCUGACUCCCCGCCGGCAGCAGCAGGAGCCGGGACGGCGGGGGCCGGCGCAGCAGCGACGAUGUGCAGCGGCGGCGCAGACACCCUGGGUCUCAGCAGUUCAAGGGUCUUUACUACCAUCCCCGCCAGUAGCCGCUUACGUCGCAUUGAGAGAUGCUGACCGUGCCUCGUGAAAUGCCUCCGGCCGAUGUUAUUGAAGUUUACCACGCGGAUGUUGUGGACAGAGAAGGAACCUCUUUCUAGGAACUUCAAGAGAAUUAAAGGUUAAACUCAUUUCUCAUUCAAAUUAUUGAAUCUUUUGAUUUGAUCUAUGUCAUUAAUGACCUUAAAACUAAAAUAGAUACAUAUGCUCAUAGUAACACCUCUCAAAAUGUGUAACAAUUCAUAUAAAAAUGGUAAGGCAUUUAUGUAGUUUUUUUAGGUUUCUUUGUUUAAUAUUUAUAAGAUAUCUUUUAGUUUAGUUUCUAUAAAUGAUCCUUUAUUAACAUGUACAGUUAGUAUAAAAAUUAUGUAACUAACUAAUUAAUUACUAGUUACGCCUAGGUAUGUUCUUUAACACAUUGACUGUGUAAGAUGCCAUAGUGCGGGCUGGUUAUUGGGGCUACUCAAGAUCACUCUGUAUAGAAUUUUAGUGAAUUAUUAAUUCAAGUAUUUUAUGUAACAUAAUGUUUUGCUGAUAAUAAAUUUAAUCAUAGUUAUGUUAUCGAACUUUUAAUUUUGGUCAAAUACUAUAUUGGUACAUACUAAUAUGUAAUUUUUAUUUUUUAUGAUCUUCAAUAUACAGGUCUUACUCUAUUUUCUAUCUCCAUAGUCUAAAUUAUAAGUGUAGAAAUAAUUAUGAGGCUUAAGUAACAGUGUCAAAUUUAUACACAAAUUUAUUGUCAAUAUUCCUUUAAACUUAUAUUAUUUACGUUAAAUCUUACGUUGACAUGUGUGAUUGUAAAUCUCAAUUUGUAAUUUAUUUGUGCUGUGAGCAUUGUCAAUGGAACUCAGAGAAACAAUAAAAACUAUUAGUUGAAACUAUCUCAACAGCAAACUGUAAUUGUAUUUGUUAUAUCUUUUACUAGUUAUUUAUAUUCUUUGAAAAGUUUGGUAUAUUGUGGAUUUUAAUGAACCGUGUUAGUACAGCUUACACAUAAAAAUUACUGAAACAAAAAAAGUUUUACAUUAAAUUAAUACUUUAAUACAAAUAAUAAACAGAAAGAUGCCAAUGAAUUGUAAGCUAUUGAUUUGAUUAUACCUAAUAAAAAAUAUAGAACUAAAAAUAAACCACUGAUUAUUAGUGUUUAAAGUAAGACCUAGAUUACGUUUAACUAGCACUUAUAGAGUAUGCAGAAAUAAUUCAAGAUUGGCAUUAGCCAAAACUUUCCUUGAUAUUAUAAAGGUUUUAAGAAACAUGUUGAGAAAUUAUCAGGAUUUUUCUAUCAUCGUCAAACCCAAGCAUAAACAUUACAUGUAAAAAUAUGAAUAGAGUAUUGUUAUUAAUUAUUUUAAAAGGUUACUAUAAAAUCCAAUAGUAUACGAUAAUUAUAUUUAUUAGUAUAUAGAAAUAUCAUUGUAAAAUAACGACCUUUUACAGUAUGAUGUUAUCAUUGCUGUAAUUGUAGUUUAGAGAUUUAUGUAAUUUGAAAGAACUAAGUAUUUGUAAAAUAAACCAAUGUUAUUUAUUAUAAAUGGA
rnacentral:misc_RNA from 1 species